AGACACCGUGGAAAUCUUUAACGAAAGUCCACCAACAAACAAACGGCCUUUUUUACAAGCAGCAGGAAAUUCAAGUCGACUUCCCUUCCACCGUGGAUCUUCGUCAUUGACCUUGGGAAGACAUCAGCCAUCGAUUAUCUUCAAGGUAGCAGGGACGUCAAGUCUACAUCAGGACGGCUCCAGGACAUCAGGG